rnacentral:misc_RNA from 1 species
UUAACUUUAUUAUGUUUACUCAGACUGAAGUUCAGGUGUUAAAGUCUUCGGCGCGAGCGCCGAAGCAACAGGAUGAUACACAAGGGUUGGAGUUUGGCAAGCCAAUCUCAGUAAUGAUCCUUCCGCAGGUUCACCUACGGAAA